rnacentral:rRNA from 1 species
GACGAACGCUGGCGGCGUGCCUAAUACAUGCAAGUUGAGCGAUGAAGCUUGGUGCUUGCACCAAUUUGAAGAGCAGCGAACGGGUGAGUAACGCGUGGGGAAUCUGCCUUUGAGCGGGGGACAACAUUUGGAAACGAAUGCUAAUACCGCAUAACAACUUUAAACAUAAGUUUUAAGUUUGAAAGAUGCAAUUGCAUCACUCAAAGAUGAUCCCGCGUUGUAUUAGCUAGUUGGUGAGGUAAAGGCUCACCAAGGCGAUGAUACAUAGCCGACCUGAGAGGGUGAUCGGCCACAUUGGGACUGAGACACGGCCCAAACUCCUACGGGAGGCAGCAGUAGGGAAUCUUCGGCAAUGGACGAAAGUCUGACCGAGCAACGCCGCGUGAGUGAAGAAGGUUUUCGGAUCGUAAAACUCUGUUGGUAGAGAAGAGCGUUGGUGAGAGUGGAAAGCUCAUCAAGUGACGGUAACUACCCAGAAAGGGACGGCUAACUACGUG